rnacentral:rRNA from 1 species
GUGUCAGCAGCCGCGGUAAUACAGAGACUGCAAGCGUUGUUCGGAUUCAUUGGGCGUAAAGGGUCCGUAGGCGGUCGGUUAAGUCGGAUGUGAAAUUCCCGAGCCUAACUCGGAAAGGUCAUUCGAAACUAAUCGGCUAGAGGGCUGGAGAGGAGACUGGAAUUGUCGGUGUAGCGGUGAAAUGCGUAGAGAUCGACAAGAACACCGGUGGCGAAGGCGGGUCUCUGGACAGUUCCUGACGCUGAGGGACGAAAGCUAGGGGAGCAAACGGGAUUAGAAACCCUUGUAGUCC